rnacentral:rRNA from 1 species
GACGUAGGGCGCGAGCGUUGUCCGGAUUUAUUGGGCGUAAAGAGCUCGUAGGCGGCUUGUCGCGUCGAAUGUGAAAACUCGGGGCUCAACUCCGAGCUUGCAUUCGAUACGGGCAGGCUAGAGUUCGGUAGGGGAGACUGGAAUUCCUGGUGUAGCGGUGAAAUGCGCAGAUAUCAGGAGGAACACCGGUGGCGAAGGCGGGUCUCUGGGCCGAUACUGACGCUGAGGAGCGAAAGCGUGGGGAGCGAUCCGG